rnacentral:rRNA from 1 species
AACGAUGAAGCCCUUCGGGGUGGAUUAGUGGCGAACGGGUGAGUAACACGUGGGCAAUCUGCCCUUCACUCUGGGACAAGCCCUGGAAACGGGGUCUAAUACCGGAUACCACUCCUGCCCGCAUGGGUGGGGGUUGAAAGCUCCGGCGGUGAAGGAUGAGCCCGCGGCCUAUCAGCUUGUUGGUGGGGUAAUGGCCCACCAAGGCGACGACGGGUAGCCGGCCUGAGAGGGCGACCGGCCACACUGGGACUGAGACACGGCCCAGACUCCUACGGGAGGCAGCAGUGGGGAAUAUUGCACAAUGGGCGAAAGCCUGAUGCAGCGACGCCGCGUGAGGGAUGACGGCCUUCGGGUUGUAAACCUCUUUCAGCAGGGAAGAAGCGAAAGUGACGGUACCUGCAGAAGAAGCGCCGGCUAACUACGUGCCAGCAGCCGCGGUAAUACGUAGGGCGCAAGCGUUGUCCGGAAUUAUUGGGCGUAAAGAGCUCGUAGGCGGCUUGUCACGUCGGAUGUGAAAGCCCGAGGCUUAACCUCGGGUCUGCAUUCGAUACGGGCUAGCUAGAGUGUGGUAGGGGAGAUCGGAAUUCCUGGUGUAGCGGUGAAAUGCGCAGAUAUCAGGAGGAACACCGGUGGCGAAGGCGGAUCUCUGGGCCAUUACUGACGCUGAGGAGCGAAAGCGUGGGGAGCGAACAGGAUUAGAUACCCUGGUAGUCCACGCCGUAAACGUUGGGAACUAGGUGUUGGCGACAUUCCACGUCGUCGGUGCCGCAGCUAACGCAUUAAGUUCCCCG